rnacentral:rRNA from 1 species
AUUGAACGCUGGCGGAAUGCUUUACACAUGCAAGUCGAACGGCAGCACGGACUUCGGUCUGGUGGCGAGUGGCGAACGGGUGAGUAAUGUAUCGGAACGUGCCCAGUCGUGGGGGAUAACGUAGUGAAAAUUACGCUAAUACCGCAUACGAUCUAUGGAUGAAAUCGGGGGAUCGCAAGACCUCGCGCGAUUGGAGCGGCCGAAAUCAGAUUAGGUAGUUGGUGGGGUAAUGGCCCACCAAGCCAACGACCUGUAGCUGGUCUGAGAGGACGACCAGCCACACUGGAACUGAGACACGGUCCAGACUCCUACGGUAGGCAGCAGUGGGGAAUUUUGGACAAUGGGCGAAAGCCUGAUCCAGCCAUUCCGCGUGCAGGAUGAAGGCCCUCGUGUUGUAAACUGCUUUUGUACAGAACGAAAAGGUUUCUACUAAUACUAGGAGCUCAUGACGGUACUGUAAGAAUAAGCACCGGCUAACUACGUGCCAGCCGCCGCCGUAA